CUGCGUGAAGGAUGAAGGUUUUCGGAUCGUAAACUUCUUUUAUGAGGGAAUAAUCUUGAAGGUACCUCAUGAAUAAGCACCGGCUAACUACGUGC
rnacentral:rRNA from 1 species